UUCGUAGGCGGCGCGGCAAGUCGGAAGUGAAAUCUCCGGGCUUAACCCAGAGGCUGCUCCCGAAACUGCCGUGCUAGAGUGCGGGAGAGGCGAGUGGAAUUGCAGGUGUAGCGGUGAAAUGCGUAGAUAUCUGCAGGAACACCCGUGGCGAAGGCGGCUCGCUGGACCGCAACUGACGCUGAGGAACGAAAGCUAGGGGAGCAAACAGGAUUAGAUACCCUGGUAGUCCUAGCCCUAAACCAUCAGGACUUGGGGUGCAUCCCGUUCGGGGUGCGUCCCGUAGCUAACGCGUUAAGUCCUGCGCCUGGGAGUACGGUCGCAAGACUGAA
rnacentral:rRNA from 1 species